AAUAUUGCACAAUGGAGGAAACUCUGAUGCAGCGACGCCGCGUGAGUGAAGAAGGUCUUAUGAUCGUAAAACACUGUUUUAAGGGAAGAACAAGUACAUUAGUAACUGCCUGUACCUUGACGGUCCCUUUUUAGAAAACCACGGCUAACUACGUGCUCGCAUCCGCGGUAAUACGUAGGUGGCAAGCGUUGUACGGAAUUAUUGGGCGUAAAGCGCGCGCAGGCGGUCCUUUAAGUCUGAUGUGAAAGCCCACGGCUCAACAGUGGAGGGUCAUUGGAAACUGGAGGACUUGAGUGCAGAAGAGGAAAGUGGAAUUCCAAGUGUAGCGGUGAAAUGCGUAGAGAUUUGGAGGAACACCAGUGGCGAAGGCGACUUUCUGGUCUGUAACUGACGCUGAGGCGCGAAAGCGUGGGGAGCAAACAGG
rnacentral:rRNA from 1 species